rnacentral:rRNA from 1 species
UACAGAGGCCUCGAGCGUUAGGCGGAAUCACUGGGCUUAAAGCGUGUGUAGGCGGACUUCUAAGUACCUUGUGAAAUCCCACGGCUCACCCGUGGAACUGCUUGGUAUACUGGUUGUCUUGAGCCUUCUAGGGGGCGAGUGGAACAAAUGGUGGAGCGGUGAAAUGCGUAGAUAUCAUUUGGAACGCCAAUGGUGAAAACAACUCGCUGGGGAAGUGCUGACGCUGAGACACGAAAGCCAGGGGAGCGAACGGG